rnacentral:misc_RNA from 1 species
GUUUGAUUAGCUCAGAUUGAACGCUGGCGGGAUGCUUUACACAUGCAAGUCGAACGGCAGCACGGACUUCGGUCUGGUGGCGAGUGGCGAACAGGUGAUAAUGUAUCGGAACGUGCCUAGUAGCGGGGAUAACUACGCGAAAGCGUAGCUAAUACCAUACGCCCUUCGGGGAAAGCGGGGACCUUCGGGCCUCGCACUAUAGAAGCGGCCGAUAUCGGAUUGGCUAGUUGGUGGGGUAACGGCUCGCAAGGCGACGAUCCGUAGCUGGUUUGAGAGGACGACCAGCCACACUGGGACGAGACACGGC